rnacentral:lncRNA from 1 species
AGGUUCAGGCCCCACAGCCCCCAUCAGGGCAGCCCACGCCUGCCAGCACCUGAGCCGAGCAAGCCCAAAAUAGAAAGAACCAAAUAAGGUAAAGCCGCGCCUCACCUUAGAACUGCCUGCAGAUCAGCCGCUCAUGCAGCCUGCGCUGCUGUCAAGUGACAGCGGGCAGACGUCUACUGAGGAGCCCCGAGCAGGUGGUCCACUCAGCCCAGCCCACCCCAGGGCCAGCUGGGGCAUCUGUACAGGCGAAGGGAUCCAGCAUGGCCAAGCAGUGGACUGGGCCCAGUGAUGAGCACUUGGGACUGCAGAGUGCUGGGUGGAAUUGUAGGGUCCCCAGCUCGACCAGGGACUGGGGGGGUCAGCUCUGCAGACCCAGGGGGCAGAGCAUGCAGGCCAGCAUUGAGGGCCCACAUGAGAUGGAUCUGGAAGGCAGAGAUUUGAGGACCCUCAGGAUGAAUUCCACAGCACGGUCUGUGACUGUGAUGGACACCUGGCCCCAAGAGAGGCCAUGUCUGACAGGGCCUCGGGCACUGCAGGGCUGCGUCCCCACGGCCUGUCUGACAAGAGCUUGGUCCCCACACCCUCCCCAGACCACAUCCCAAGUCAGUUCUGCUGAGACCAGAGGCUUCACUUUCCCCCUGUGGGAGAUGAAGGAGCUGCGUCUCCUCCUGACCCAGCUGUGGAAAGUCACAGGGAAACAGGGAAGGGUGGGGUCAAACCCAUGCGUCCCUCCGAACGUACCUCAGGCCACAUCGGGAGGCCGUCAGACUCAGAUUGUGCUCAAGCCAAACAGGUAAGCCCUGGUACAGGUAAGCCCUGACACAAGUAAGCCAUGGCACAGGUAAGCCAUGGCACAGGUAAGCUCUGGCAGAGGUAAGCCAUGGCACAGGUAAACCCUGAUACAGGUAAGCUGUGGUACAGGUAAGCUGUGGCAAAGGUUAAGCCAGGGCACAGGUAAGCCCUGGCAGAGGUAAGCCCUGGCACAGGUAAGCUUCGGCACAGGUAAGCCCCAGCACAGGUAAGCCCUGGUACAGGUAAGCCCCACUGUUGUCCGCAGAGGAAGGGAGGGAGUUGGACCAAAUGCUCAGCCCUGAUGUCAGACCUAGGGUGGGAGGAGUUGGGAAGCCACAUGGCUGGGUGUCAGCUGGGGCUGAAUGUGGCCUGGAGGGGGCCCCUCCUCUCUGAGGAAAGCCCACCACCCUGCAGACCCCAGGGCCAGGUGGGGUAGUUGCUGUUUGGGGUGGGGGUGCCUGAAGGAGGCACCCCCACAGAGCUUCAGCCUUCCUGAUGGCCGACCACGGGGCUGCAGCACCUGGUCUAUGUGCCAAGCUCUGAGCAGGCCUGUCCCUCUCAAUGGUGUCCACAGCCUCUUCAUUACCCAUGGGGGCCUGUGACGCUAGCAAGCAGAGAGGCCGUGUGUGGCUCCCGGGCCUGCGGUUCCUCCCCACCAGGCCACUCUUCCCCCCCUUUUCCUCUCCCCUGCCUUCUCCCCCACUGACCCAGCUCCUGGUCCAGCCUCCUCCUGUCCCAUCUCCUCCCCCGCCCUUACCUCACUGUCCCUCCCCUGCCCCUCACCCAGCCCCCAGCCCCUGUCUCCUCCAUCCCUGGCCCUCCCUCACCUUCUCUCCUGUCCACUUGAGCUGUGACCACUGCAGGGGGCCUGGAGCCCUGGGCCCAGUGUCAGCUGCACCCCCUUUUUGUCUCUGUUGGAAACAGGACCAUCACUCCCUUCCAUACCCAGAGCUGGCCAGUGAGCACGGGUGUCACCUGUGGAACUCACGGCAAGGCCACAGGAUGGUCACAGAGCAGGGACCAAGCCAUCAUCCUCAUCCUGCCUUGGCCACCAACCCAUCCAUCUGCCACACACCAGGACCUCUGAAGCAGCGGAGCAGUGGGCCAGGCGCCUGGCACCACAUGCAAGCAGAACUAUCCCAUUCUCAUCCUCUGGUCAGGGACGGGGCACUCCCAGAAGCCAUGUCCACCAGCCCUGGCAGAGGCGGCGCAGCUGAGCAGAUGCAGAGUGUCAAGUCACAGCAGGUCACUCAGAGCCCUGGGGGCCAGGACCCUCGCUACACCGCCCCCGACAGGCCUGGGCUCUUCCUCCUCUGCCAUGGCUGCUCCCCCAGCCAGCUGCCCUGCCCUGCCCUGCACAUCAGUGUCCGCUUCCUCCAGACAGUGCCAGGCCACAAGAGCACCUGUCAGAGCGGCUUCCCAGGGAAUCAGGAUGGUGUCCUUAGCAGCCAUGGGGCUCCCUCCCGACUUCAGAAUGGACAGUGCCCGCCACCAGCCAGCCAAACACAGGCCAGAACAAGCAGAGCUCUGGGCAGCUUGUUUUCCACCUAUUAACACUAAUCUGUUUUUCUUCUGCAUUUCCAAAUUCCUCCCUUCAGGUCUCAGACACAGUAUGCACAGCCAGAUGAGACCGGCUUAGUCCCGGCUUUGCCGCUUAUGAACAGUGUGACCCUGGGAAGCGCUGACAACCCUCCUGACCAUGACU